CACAAAGGUUUGGUCCUAGCCUUGAAGUCAACUAUUUCUUAACUUACACAUGCAAGUAUCCGCACACCCGUGAAAACGCCCUUCCACCCUACAGGGUCAAGGAGCUGAUAUCAGGCACAAAUCGCCCAAAACAUCUAGCCAUGCCACGCCCACAAGGGCCCUCAGCAGUGAUUAACCUUAAAAAUAAACGUCAGUUUGACUUAGUUAGCGAAAAUAGAGCCGGCCAAUCUGGUGCCAGCCGCCGCGGUUACACCAUGUGGCUCAAAUUGACUCCUGACGGCGUAAAGAGUGAUUAAAGAGAAAGAAAAUUAUGAGGUUAAACUUGAACUAAGCUGUAGUACGCCUGUUCCUAAGAAAACCACGAUUCGAAAGACACCCCAGAUCACCAACUUGAAUUCACAACAACUGGAGUACAAACUGGGAUUAGAUACCCCACUAUGUCCAGUCGUAAACUUUAACUUACACCCUAUCGCCAGGGAACUACGAGCAAAGCUUAAAACCCAAAGGACUUGACGGUACCCCACAUCCACCUAGAGGAGCCUGUCCUAUAACCGAUACCCCCCGUUUUACCUCACCACUUUUAGCUUUUCAGCCUGUAUACUUCCGUCGUCAGCUUACCGCAUGAGCGAAAUAAGUAAGCCUAAUGUUACCCAUCAAUACGUCAGGUCAAAGUGCAGCAAAUAUAGUGGCAAGAGAUGGGCUACACUCUCUAUCAUAGAAGAUACAAAAGACUAUGUGAAACCAUGCUCAGAAGGCGGAUUUAGUAGUAAGAAGGCAAUAGAAUACCCUUCUUAACCCGGCACUGGGGUGUGUACACACCGCCCGUCACCCUCUUCAACUUUUACCCACCAGUACCUAACAACUACUCACCCAAUAGAAGAGGCAAGUC
rnacentral:ncRNA from 1 species